rnacentral:rRNA from 1 species
CCUACGGGCGGCAGCAGUGGGGAAUAUUGCGCAAUGGGCGAAAGCCUGACGCAGCGACGCCGCGUGAGGGAUGAAGGUCUUCGGAUCGUAAACCUCUGUCAGCAGGGAAGAACGGUCACUGUGCUAAUCAGCAGUGAAUUGACGGUACCUGCACAGGAAGCACCGGCUAACUCCGUGCCAGCAGCCGCGGUAAUACGGAGGGUGCGAGCGUUAAUCGGAAUUACUGGGCGUAAAGCGCGCGUAGGCGGUAUCUCAAGUCAAGGGUGAAAGCCCCGCGCUCAACGUGGGAACGGCCUUUGAAACUGGGAAACUUGAGUGUAGGAGAGGAUAGUGGAAUUCCAGGUGUAGGGGUGAAAUCCGUAGAUAUCUGGAGGAACAUCAGUGGCGAAGGCGACUCUCUGGUACAUAACUGACGCUGAGGAGCGAAAGCGUGGGUAGCAAACAGGAUUAGAUACCCGGGUAGUC